rnacentral:snRNA from 1 species
GUACUUUGGCAGUGCAUAUACUAAGAUUGGGAUAAUACAAAAAUUAGCAUGCCCUUGUACAAGGAUAACCCACAAAUAUGUGAAGUGUUCUAUAUUUAG